GACGAACGCUGGCGGCGUGCUUAACACAUGCAAGUCGAACGGAAAGGCCUGCUUUCCCUUGUGGAUUGCGGGUACUCGAGUGGCGAACGGGUGAGUAACACGUGAGUGAUCUGCCCCCAACUUGGGUAUAAGCCUGGGAAACUGGGUCUAAUUCCCGAUAGGACUGCAGGGUGGUGCCUGUGGUGGAAAACGAUUUUCUAGUGGUUGGGGAUGAGCUCGCGGCCUAUCAGCUGGUUGGUGGGUAAUGGCCUACCAAGGGGGCGACGGGUAGCCGGCCUGAGAGGGUGGACGGCCACAUUGGGACUGAGAUACGGCCCAGACUCCUACGGGAGGCAGCAGUGGGGAAUAUUGCACAAUGGGCGGAAGCCUGAUGCAGCGACGCCGCGUGGGGGAUGACGGCCUUCGGGUUGUAAACUCCUUUCGACCGCGAGGAAGCCACCUGGUUGGAAGGGUGGUGACGGUAGUGGUAGAAGAAGCACCGGCUAACUACGUG
rnacentral:rRNA from 1 species